rnacentral:rRNA from 1 species
AACGAACGCUGGCGGCAUGCCUAACACAUGCAAGUCGAACGAGAUCUUCGGGUCUAGUGGCGCACGGGUGCGUAACGCGUGGGAAUCUGCCCUUUGGUUCGGAAUAACAGUUGGAAACGACUGCUAAUACCGGAUGAUGACGAAAGUCCAAAGAUUUAUCGCCAGAGGAUGAGCCCGCGUAGGAUUAGCUAGUUGGUGUGGUAAAGGCGCACCAAGGCGACGAUCCUUAGCUGGUCUGAGAGGAUGAUCAGCCACACUGGGACUGAGACACGGCCCAGACUCCUACGGGAGGCAGCAGUGGGGAAUAUUGGACAAUGGGCGAGAGCCUGAUCCAGCAAUGCCGCGUGAGUGAUGAAGGCCUUAGGGUUGUAAGGCUCUUUUACCCGGGAUGAUAAUGACAGUACCGGGAGAAUAAGCUCCGGCUAACUCCGCGCCAGCCGCCGCCGUAA